rnacentral:lncRNA from 1 species
GAACUGUAAGGAUACUCGUAAAAAAUGCGGUUGAGAAACACGACCACCUGAAGUACCAUGUGAGACAUGUAGGGCUGAUUAAAAGGCCCUUGGAGGAUGGACUCUACCAUAAGAAUCUCUACCUCCAAACGAGGUACCACUCAAUCUACCUGCAUGACGGGGCCUCUUAUCAGGCCCAUGACCACCUCCCUCUGCAAGAGCCAUCUCUAUCCUGCUUGCCACAUUAGCCUCCUCUUGAAAAUAUAUCCCACUCCCGGCUCUCAUAGCCAUCUGGAGACGGAUGGGAUGAAUCAACCUAUCGAUAAACCCCCAUACCCUUACUCUCGGUAGGGAGUAUAACAAUAGCAUAGCGAGCUAGAUCAAUGAACCGGGUCACACACUGAGUGACUAACAUAGAGCCCUGCCGAAAGCGCUCCAACUGCCUCCGAAGAGCCUCUCGCUGAGUAACUGGGAGAAACUUUUCCAAAAAUAACUCUACAAACUGGUCCCAUGUCAGAGAUGGCGACCCUGCUAGUCUCGC